rnacentral:rRNA from 1 species
GAUGAACGCUGGCGGCGUGCCUAAUACAUGCAAGUCGAGCGAACGGACGAGAAGCUUGCUUCUCUGAUGUUAGCGGCGGACGGGUGAGUAACACGUGGAUAACCUACCUAUAAGACUGGGAUAACUUCGGGAAACCGUAGCUAAUACCGGAUAAUAUUUUGAACCGCAUGGUUCAAAAGUGAAAGACGGUCUUGCUGUCACUUAUAGAUGGAUCCGCGCUGCAUUAGCUAGUUGGUAAGGUAACGGCUUACCAAGGCAACGAUGCAUAGCCGACCUGAGAGGCUGAUAGGCCACACGGGAACUGAGACACGGUCCAGACUCCUACGGGAGGCAGCAGUAGGGAAUCGUCCGCAAUGGGCGAAAGCCUGACGGAGCAACGCCGCGUGAGUGAUGAAGGUGUUCGGAGCGUAAAACUCUGUUAUGAGGGAAGAACAUAUGUGUAAGUAACUGUGCAGAGCUUGACGGUACCUAAUCAGAAAGCCACGGCUAACUACGUG